GACGAACGCUGGCGGCGUGCUUAACACAUGCCAGUCGAACGGUGAAGCGCCUUCCUUUUUGGUGGGUGUGGAUGAGUGGCGAACGGGUGAGUAACACGUGAGUAACCUGCCCCCUUCUUCUGGAUAACCGCAUGAAAGUGUGGCUAAUACGGGAUAUUCUGGGUCUGUCGCAUGAUGGGUCUGGGAAAGAUAUUGUUUCGGUGGGGGAUGGGCUCGCGGCCUAUCAGCUUGUUGGUGGGGUGAUGGCCUACCAAGGCGGUGACGGGUAGCCGGCCUGAGAGGGUGGACGGUCACACUGGGACUGAGACACGGCCCAGACUCCUAGGGGAGGCAGCAGUGGGGAAUAUUGCACAAGGGGCGCAAGCCUGAUGCAGCGGCGCCGCGUGAGGGAUGGAGGCCUUCGGGUUGUGAACCUCUUUCGCCAGUGAAGCAGGCCUGCCUCGUUUGUGGGUGGGUUGACGGUAGCUGGAUAAGAAGCGCCGGCUAACUACGUG
rnacentral:rRNA from 1 species